rnacentral:lncRNA from 1 species
UUGCACAAACUUUUAUUGCCAAAGAGGUAUCUUCUCCUCAUUGAUAAUGUUAAUGACUCUGUAGCAUGGGAUUAUCUAAGGUCAUGCUUUCCAGAUGCCAACAAUGGAAGCAGAAUUCUUCUAACAACUCGUCUAAAUGAAGUUGCUACUAAGGCUAGACGUGUUAGUUCACCACAUUAUCUGCGCUUGUUCACUGAUGAAGAAAGCUGGACGCUGCUACAAAAUAAGGCGUUCCCCCAACAAAGUUGACCGCCAGAUGAAGUUGCCACUACGGCUAGACGUGUUAGUUCACCCCACUAUCUGCGCUUGUUUUCUGAUGAAGCAAGCUGGACGCUGUUACAAAAUAAGGCGUUCCCCCGACAAAGUUGCCCACCAAAUUUUAGACAUCUUGCAGAAC